UACGUAGGGGGCAAGCGUUGUCCGGAAUCAUUGGGCGUAAAGAGCGUGUAGGCGGUUCGGUAAGUCCGCUGUGAAAGUCCAGGGCUCAACUCUGGAAUGCCGGUGGAUACUGCCGGGCUAGAGUCCGGAAGAGGCGAGUGGAAUUCCUGGUGUAGCGGUGAAAUGCGCAGAUAUCAGGAGGAACACCGAUGGCGAAGGCAGCUCGCUGGGACGGUACUGACGCUGAGACGCGAAAGCGUGGGGAGCAAACAGG
rnacentral:rRNA from 1 species